rnacentral:rRNA from 1 species
AGCAGCCGCGGUAAUUCCAGCUCCAAUAGCGUAUAUUAAAGUUGUUGCAGUUAAAAAGCUCGUAGUUGAAUUUCGGGAUCUGUCUAUUGGUCGGGCUUUAUUGUCCGCACUGAUUUGAUGGAUUCUUACCUUCUGAAUAACCAGCAUGCCAUUAAGUUGGUGCGCUGGGGAAGCAGAGCUAUUACCUUGAAAAAAAUUAGAGUGCUUAAAGCAGGCUAGUGCUUGAAUAGAUUAGCAUGGAAUAAUAAAAUAGGACGGCAUGGUUCUAUUUUGUUGGUUUCUAGGAUCACCGUAAUGAUUAAUAGGGAUAGUUGGGGGCAUUAGUAUUCAAUUGUCAGAGGUGAAAAUUCUUGGAUUUAUUGAAGACUAACUACUGCGAAAGCAUUUUGCCAAGGAUGUUUUCAUUAAUCAAGAACGAAAAGUUAGGGGAUCGAAGACGAUCAGAUACCGUCGUAGUCUUAACCAUAAACUAUGCCGACUAGGGAUCGGACGAAGUUAAUUUUUUAAUGACUCGUUCGGC